CGCGGCGACGUGGGCGGUCCGCCGCCGGCGACGUCGCGAGAAGUCCACUGAACCUUAUCAUUUAGAGGAAGGAGAAGUCGUAACAAGGUUUCCGUAGGUGAACCUGCGGAAGGAUCAUUUUCGAAACCUCUGCCCAGCAGAACGACCCGCGAACUCGUGCAACGAACCAGCGUCGGGGGUCCCUCGGGCCCCCGCGCGCAGGCCGGGAGGGGACCCGUGCCCCCCUCGGUCGCCAACAACAAACCCCGGCGCGGCAUGCGCCAAGGAAUACGUAACGAGAGACGCGGCGCGCCCCCGUCGCCCCGGGAACGGUGAGCGGGGGGCUCGCCCGCUCUUUUGAGUCAACCACAACGACUCUCGGCAACGGAUAUCUUGGCUCUCGCAUCGAUGAAGAACGUAGCGAAAUGCGAUACUUGGUGUGAAUUGCAGAAUCCCGUGAACCAUCGAGUCUUUGAACGCAAGUUGCGCCCGAAGCCUUCGGGCCGAGGGCACGCCUGCCUGGGUGUCACGCAACGUCGCCCCUCCCGAGCACCGCUCCGCGGGCCGGCGAGCGGCGGAGAAUGGUCUCCCGCGGCCUCCGCCGCGGUUGGCCCAAACACGAGCCCCCGGCGACGAGCGCCGCGGCAUUCGGUGGUUGAGAGACCCUGCUCCCCGCCGCGCGCGCCCCGUCGCAGUCGGGGGAACUCCAUGUCGACCCCCGGUGCGCAACCGAACCGACGCGACCCCAGGUCAGGCGGGAUUACCCGCUGAAUUUAAGCAUAUCAAUAAGCGGAGGAAAAGAAACUUACCAGGAUUCCCCUAGUAACGG
rnacentral:rRNA from 1 species